rnacentral:rRNA from 1 species
GCCGAUGACCAUAUGACACGGAAUGUGCCCGAGUUUGUCAGGUCUCGAAAGCUAAGCAGGGGUUGAUCCUGGAUAGUGCUUGCAUGGGCGACCACAUGCACGGGUAGUAUGCAACAGGUUUGGUAUCGGCU